UGAGGCGGUGCCUUACUCGACGUUUCGCCCGAUGUCUGAUAAAGCCAGGCUGUUAUCAGGAGUUGGACGGCAGGCACCUGUUUGUGCGUCAUUCGAAGUUUAUGUAGCGCGUCCCGAAGGGGCUGACAUAAGAAG
rnacentral:sRNA from 1 species